CCUACGGGAGGCAGCAGUGGGGAAUAUUGGACAAUGGGGGGAACCCUGAUCCAGCGACGCCGCGUGAGUGAAGAAGUAUUUCGGUAUGUAAAGCUCUAUCAGCAGGGAAGAAAAUGACGGUACCUGACUAAGAAGCCCCGGCUAACUACGUGCCAGCAGCCGCGGUAAUACGUAGGGGGCAAGCGUUAUCCGGAUAUACUGGGUGUAAAGGGAGCGUAGACGGCGGUGCAGGCCAGAUGGGAAAGCCCGGGGCUCAACCCCGGGACUGCAUUUGGAACUGUGCUGCUAGAGUGUCGGAGAGGCAGGCGGAAUUCCUAGUGUAGCGUUGAAAUGCGUAGAUAGUAGGAGGACCACCAGUGGCGAAGGCGGCCUGCUGGACGAUGACUGACGUUGAGGCUCGAAAGCGUGGGGAGCAAACAGGAUUAGAUACCCGUGUAGUC
rnacentral:rRNA from 1 species